UAACAUCCGGAAACGGGUGCUAAUACCGCAUAGUUUUCUUGGUCGCAUGAUCGGGAAAGGAAAGACGGCCUUUGUAGCUGUCGCUUAUGGAUGGACCCGCGGCGUAUUAGUUAGUUGGUGAGGUAACGGCUCACCAAGACGAUGAUACGUAGCCGACCUGAGAGGGUGAUCGGCCACAUUGGGACUGAGACACGGCCCAAACUCCUACGGGAGGCAGCAGUAGGGAAUCUUCCGCAAUGGACGAAAGUCUGACGGAGCAACGCCGCGUGAGUGAAGUAAAAGGUUUUCGGAUCGUAAAACUCUGUUGUCAGAGAAGAACAAGUUGGAGAGUAACUGCUCCAGCCUUGACGGUAUCUGACCAGAAAGCCACGGCUAACUACGUGCCAGCAGCCGC
rnacentral:rRNA from 1 species